rnacentral:misc_RNA from 1 species
AGGCGUUACCGGUGGAGUUCGUGAGUCUGAGAUUGGUUUCGGGUUUUAUAAGACUACAUGAGAUUAUCGCUAACUGUAACAAAGUUGAUCCUUCAAUCUGUGGCAAUAAGUGUCGGAACUCGUAGGCAUCUGCCCUUAGAACAGUAUUCGAGUCCACAUGGUGCAUAAAAAUGUUCAGGUGACUCAGAGGUGGACCACUGCAAAGGGACUGCGACUUUCUCGACCUCAUUAUCAGACUGCUGGUGGCAGACUUCACGUAUAAGACACUUUGUUGCUUUUUGUUUAUCUCUCUGUUUAUACAUAACUACAUAUUGGAGGUACUCUGUAUAUUAAGCAUAAUAAUGCGGGGUCACGUGAACCUCUGUUUGUGCAAUCUAUGACAGUAAGUGCGGACAAGUUUUGGGUUGUGCCGAAAUGAUAGCUAGAUCUGUAUGGCCCACCACGUUGUUGUUAUAUGUGUCUGACUAUUGUUCUUUGUAUUGAGAGGUUGUAGUACUUAGGCAAUAGCCUCAACAAUGAAGUAAUUGGUACUAUGUACUGUACUUAGUUGAUUAUAAACUGUACUAUUGAGGUAUACUGUGUACUAAUUGCUUUACCAAUCAUGAUAUAGUUUGGGGAUGUACAAAUUACCAUUUUGUAGUGAUAUAUUUAUUGCAUAUUAUGAAAUGACACAAUUUAUAUUUGUACAUGUAUUUGUAAAUCAUUAACUAUAUUACAAUAUUCUGUUUAUACGUCUAUGUGAGAGUUUUAAGGUCAUUCAUCCAUUCUGUGUUAAUCCAUUUAAUAUACAUAUUUUUUGCUAAGUUUUAACUGACUGCUAUAUGUUGUAUUUUUAUAAAUGUACUCUUGACAUAUCAUGUUUUAAUGUCAAAGAAAUCCAUUUACCACAGCCCCUUAGAUCUGGAAAUGGGACAUGUUUAUAUAGGUGUAUAAUUCAAAGUCCAUUAACUAGUGUUAGCAUCCCCUUAUGUACUGUUAUACUGAUGUCAUGACCAGGCUGAGGUGAUAUUAAUAUAGACUCUAUUCUGUCAUGACAUGUCAUUAGAAAAUAAAUAGAAACAAAAGUU